GAAUAGUUAAUGUGAUAUAAUUAGCUCACCACUGGAGCUUCCUCAACCCCCUGUCCCCGUCCUCCCCUACACCCCUCCCUUUAAGCUGGUGUGUAUGUGUAAAUGUGUGUGUGUGUGUGCGGGCGCGUGCGUGCCUGUGCUUAUACGUGUGUCUGAUUGAAGGGGGAUGGUCGCUUUGUCACCAGCUGACAGGACAGUGACAGCGUUUCAUACAGAUUUCACACUGCAGUCGUACCAACAGGACUGGACAUUCACUGCUCACUAUCCUCCUCAAACACACUGCACACUGACGGAGGAGAUUGGGAGGGGUGAUCUGCUGUUUGAUCUGUUUGAAAGUUGGUGUUGCUGAUCCAGGUGCUGAGGUGGUCUGAGAGGAACAUGGCAAAUCCAUAUAGCUCUUACAUCAGACAGCAGUCCCUCUGGAUCUACCUGACCACCAGUCACAUCACCAGACUACCUGUUCCCUAGUAACACACCGUAACAGACUGUAACAGACUGUAGAGACAACAUGGACACAGUUCUGAUGGUUACUCUGGAGGAGCGACAGUCUCUGGUCAUGUCAGCAUCAUCUGGUAGGACCAUCUCACCACAGACACAGCAACUGGCACAGACACAGGUACAGCAACAGACACAACCAGAGACACAGACACACCAGUCCUCCUCAGAAUGUGCUUCAGAGCCUUCUCAUCAUGACGAUAGCUCCACAGAGAGCAGUGAGGAUGUUUGUUUGCCUGGACCUCUAAGCCUGGAGCUGUCGAAACUGGAACUAGACCACCAGGACACACCCCAGCAGGAUAGGGAGGCUGGUAGUGACUAUAACAGGACUGGAGCUCCUGGGAUAGAGGGAAAACUAGCUGUUAGUAUUGGAGAUCCAGGAGGGCCAGCAGGGCCAGCAGAGUAUGGUUCUGAUGUCUCCCCUCCUGACCCUCUAGACCCUCUCUGGAUUGUCUGUCCAGCGGGUCUCCUCGGUGAGCCAGACAGUGUGACAUCACCAUCGCCUGAUGAUGCCAAUAACAAUGGAUUGGAUUUACACAGCACUUCUCCAGCUGAGGACCCCUGCCUUGCCUCCAAUGUUCCUUCUCCUAGGAUAGAGGGAGAUGUGGAUGUUCUUGCUCCUAAGAUAGAGGGAAACCUGGAGGUUGAAGACAGUGACAGACCUGUAGAAUCAGGGCAUUCCCUGGAUGCUAACCUCUCUGGUCAGCUAGAGGACAUAGAGCUGGGGCAUACCUCGCCCAGACAGACCGAGAGCGACAUGGAGCUAGAGGAGGAGUCACCCAGAUGGACAGAAACAGACAGCCAGCCUGAGGACCACUCAGAGGGGCCUGUGGAGAACAGACAUGUCCCUACUGAUCUGGAACACACAGAAGACAACCAUGUGCCCUUCCCUCUAGGACAUAUCCAUACCCUUCUGGUCCAAUCAGAGGCAGAGGUCAGCCAUGUCACUAUCUCUGUGGUCCAAUCAGAGACUUUUAUCUCCAUUCCUUCUCUAGUGGUCAGUGUGGACAACAACAUGGAUCCCUUCAGACCUCCCUCCCUCCCCCUGGCCCUCUCUGAGGCCCCCUUGGCGGGGCUAGGCCUCUGCGAUCACCCCGACAUCAUCAAACACAGACCUAGCUCCAUCACCUUCUCAGACUACACCUGUAGUCCCUCCACCUGUCAUUCUAGCACCGACCACAGUGUCUUCAUCAAUGACAGCUCCGACUGCAGGGAGUCUUCCUCAGAGGAGGAUGAUGAAGGUGAUGUUGAUGAAGAUGGGGAUGAUAACGACAUAUUCCCAGAGCUGCUUCAGAGCAGGGAGUUCCUGGUCAGUCGGAGGAGAAGGAGCAGCACCAGAGACAAAGUAGUUAAGAAGAGAAGUUCUCUGAAUCCCCAGGCUGAGGCACCAGUCAGGUCUACAACCAACACUACAGCCAGCUCCCACCUCUCCUCCUCUUCUUCCUCUAAAAAACAGAACCACGGCGGCUACGAGGCAGAGACUGAGACCAGCAGCACAGAGGAUACUCCCCUGGUCCAGCCUCAGACCCCGUGGUGUGAGUCUAUGAGCCAGCUGAUGAGGAAACUGGACCAGCUCAACCUGGACAUAGAGGAGGCUCUGAGUGCAUCAUCGUCCCCCUCGGACACACCCUGCACAGCACGCAGACAACAGUGUGGAGCUGUGUCUGGGACGGCAGUAAACCAAUCUCUUAAUGAGAAGGACAGUACACUGUUGCAGCGAGGGGAACCAGACACAGGAGAAUGUCCCAGACAGGACCAACACAAGACCACGGCCCCUCGUAUCUCAGCCAUAGGAACCAGAGUCAGGACCAAGAAGACAGUCAUGUGCUGUAAGAUGACCAAUGCAGGAGCAGGUAAGUCUUUUUUCAUGUGUACAUGUUUCACCAGGCUGUGUGUUGAAUCUGGGACGUGA
rnacentral:lncRNA from 8 species